rnacentral:tRNA from 1 species
GGUGCAUACAGCUCAGUGGUAGAGCGCCUGCUUAGCAUGCAUGAGGUAGGUCCUGGGUUCAAUCCCCAGUACCGCCA